AUUGAACGCUGGCGGCAGGCCUAACACAUGCAAGUCGAGCGGAUGAAGGGAGCUUGCUCCUGGAUUCAGCGGCGGACGGGUGAGUAAUGCCUAGGAAUCUGCCUGGUAGUGGGGGAUAACGUCCGGAAACGGGCGCUAAUACCGCAUACGUCCUGAGGGAGAAAGUGGGGGAUCUUCGGACCUCACGCUAUCAGAUGAGCCUAGGUCGGAUUAGCUAGUUGGUGGGGUAAAGGCCUACCAAGGCGACGAUCCGUAACUGGUCUGAGAGGAUGAUCAGUCACACUGGAACUGAGAAACGGUCCAGACUCCUACGGGAGGCAGCAGUGGGGAAUAUUGGACGAUGGGCGAAAGCCUGAUCCAGCCAUGCCGCGUGUGUGAAGAAGGUCUUCGGAUUGUAAAGCACUUUAAGUUGGGAGGAAGGGCAGUAAGUUAAUACCUGGCUGUUUUGACGUUACCAACAGAAUAAGCACCGGCUAACUUCGUG
rnacentral:rRNA from 1 species